GAGGGUAUAGCUCAAGUGGUAGGGUGCUUGCUUAGCAACCACAAGGUCCUGGGUUCAAUUCCCAGUACCUCCU
rfam:Camelus ferus unplaced genomic scaffold scaffold832, whole genome shotgun sequence.